rnacentral:rRNA from 1 species
UACGUAGGGAGCAAGCGUUGUUCGGAUUUACUGGGCGUAAAGGGCGCGUAGGCGGCCACCGCAAGUCGAUUGUGAAAUCUCCGGGCUUAACCCGGAAAGGUCAACCGAUACUGCGGGGCUAGAGUGCAGAAGGGGCAACUGGAAUUCUCGGUGUAGCGGUGAAAUGCGUAGAUAUCGAGAGGAACACCUGCGGCGAAGGCGGGUUGCUGGGCUGACACUGACGCUGAUGUGCGAAAGCUAGGGGAGCGAACGGG